GAGUUUGAUCAUGGCUCAGAUUGAACGCUGGCGGCAUGCUUUACACAUGCAAGUCGAACGGCAGCGCGAACUUCGGUCUGGCGGCGAGUGGCGAACGGGUGAGUAAUAUAUCGGAACGUACCCAAGAGUGGGGGAUAACGUAGCGAAAGUUACGCUAAUACCGCAUACGAUCUAAGGAUGAAAGCAGGGGACCGCAAGGCCUUGUGCUCCUGGAGCGGCCGAUAUCUGAUUAGCUAGUUGGUGAGGUAAAGGCUCACCAAGGCAACGAUCAGUAGCUGGUCUGAGAGGACGACCAGCCACACUGGAACUGAGACACGGUCCAGACUCCUACGGGAGGCAGCAGUGGGGAAUUUUGGACAAUGGGGGCAACCCUGAUCCAGCAAUGGCCGCGUGAGUGAAGAAGGCCUUCGGGUUGUAAAGCUCUUUUGUCAGGGAAGAAAAGGGUCUGGCUAAUAUCCAGAUCUGCUGACGGUACCUGAAGAAUAAGCACCGGCUAACUACGUGCCAGCAGCCGCGGUAAUACGUAGGGUGCAAGCGUUAAUCGGAAUUACUGGGCGUAAAGCGUGCGCAGGCGGUUUUGUAAGUCUGUCGUGAAAUCCCCGGGCUUAACCUGGGAAUGGCGAUGGAGACUGCAAGGCUAGAGUUUGGCAGAGGGGG
rnacentral:rRNA from 1 species